rnacentral:rRNA from 1 species
GAUGAACGCUGGCGGCGUGCCUAAUACAUGCAAGUCGAGCGAACGGACGAGAAGCUUGCUUCUCUGAUGUUAGCGGCGGACGGGUGAGUAACACGUGGAUAACCUACCUAUAAGACUGGGAUAACUUCGGGAAACCGGAGCUGAUACCGGAUAAUAUUUUGAACCGCAUGGUUCAAAAGUGAAAGACGGUCUUGCUGUCACUUAUAGAUGGAUCCGCGCUGCAUUAGCUAGUUGGUAAGGUAACGGCUUACCAAGGCAACGAUGCAUAGCCGACCUGAGAGGGUGAUCGGCCACACUGGAACUGAGACACGGUCCAGACUCCUACGGGAGGCAGCAGUAGGGAAUCUUCCGCAAUGGGCGAAAGCCUGACGGAGCAACGCCGCGUGAGUGAUGAAGGUCUUCGGAUCGUAAAACUCUGUUAUUAGGGAAGAACAUAUGUGUAAGUAACUGUGCACAUCUUGACGGUACCUAAUCAGAAAGCCACGGCUAACUACGUGCCAGCAGCCGCGGUAAUACGUAGGUGGCAAGCGUUAUCCGGAAUUAUUGGGCGUAAAGCGCGCGUAGGCGGCUUUUUAAGUCUGAUGUGAAAGCCCACGGCUCAACCGUGGAGGGUCAUUGGAAACUGGAAAACUUGAGUGCAGAAGAGGAAAGUGGAAUUCCAUGUGUAGCGGUGAAAUGCGCAGAGAUAUGGAGGAACACCAGUGGCGAAGGCGACUUUCUGGUCUGUAACUGACGCUGAUGUGCGAAAGCGUGGGGAUCAAACAGGAUUAGAUACCCUGGUAGUCCACGCCGUAAACGAUGAGUGCUAAGUGUUAGGGGGUUUCCGCCCCUUAGUGCUGCAGCUAACGCAUUAAGCACUCCGCCUGGGGAGUACGACCGCAAGGUUGAAACUCAAAGGAAUUGGCGGGGACCCGCACAAGCGGUGGAGCAUGUGGUUUAAUUCGAAGCAACGCGAAGAACCUUACCAAAUCUUGACAUCCUUUGACAACUCUAGAGAUAGAGCCUUCCCCUUCGGGGGACAAAGUGACAGGUGGUGCAUGGUUGUCGUCAGCUCGUGUCGUGAGAUGUUGGGUUAAGUCCCGCAACGAGCGCAACCCUUAAGCUUAGUUGCCAUCAUUAAGUUGGGCACUCUAAGUUGACUGCCGGUGACAAACCGGAGGAAGGUGGGGAUGACGUCAAAUCAUCAUGCCCCUUAUGAUUUGGGCUACACACGUGCUACAAUGGACGAUACAAAGGGCAGCGAAACCGCGAGGUCAAGCAAAUCCCAUAAAGUUGUUCUCAGUUCGGAUUGUAGUCUGCAACUCGACUACAUGAAGCUGGAAUCGCUAGUAAUCGUAGAUCAGCAUGCUACGGUGAAUACGUUCCCGGGUCU